rnacentral:rRNA from 2 species
GACGAACCGUGCGAACGUUGUUCGGAAUCACUGGGCUUAAAGGGCGCGUAGGCGGUUUCUCAAGUCCGGGGUGAAAGCUUUCGGCUUAACCGGAAAAGGGCCUUGGAUACUGAGAAGCUGGAGGGAGGUAGGGGCCGUUGGAACUUCCAGUGGAGCGGUGAAAUGCGUUGAUAUUGGAAGGAACUCCGGUGGCGAAAGCGAACGGCUGGAUCUCUUCUGACGCUGAGGCGCGAAAGCUAGGGGAGCAAACGGG